CUCACCAUAGUUUAUCUUAAAACCUCGACCUGCAAAAUCGAAAAUGGAAAUAGUUCCUGGUGUGU
rnacentral:tRNA from 1 species